GAUGAAGAACGUAGCGAAAUGCGAUAAGUAGUGUGAAUUGCAGAAUUCAGUGAAUCAUCGAAUCUUUGAACGCACAUUGCGCCCCUUGGUAUCCCGAGGGGUAUGCCUGUUCGAGCGUCAUUUCACCACUCAAGCCUGGCUUGGUGUUGGGCGACGUCCUCUUUGGGGACGCGCCUCGAAACGCUCGGCGGCGUGGCACCGGCUUUAAGCGUAGCAGAAUCUUUCGCUUUGGAAGUCGGGGCCCCGUCUGCCGGAAGACCUGCUCGCAAGGUUGACCUCGGAUCAGGCAGGGAUACCCGCUGAACUUAAGCAUAUCAAUAAGCGGAGGA
rnacentral:misc_RNA from 1 species